ACCUUUCCCUCCCCCUUUUUCCUGAUUUACUGGGCGUAAAGGGUCCGUAGGCGGCUUUGUGCGUCGGUGGUCAAAUCUUGGAGCUCAACUCCAAGACCGCCAUCGAUACGGCAAGGCUCGAGCAUGGGAGAGGUACGCGGAAUUGCCGGUGUAGUAGUAAAAUGCGUUAAUAUCGGCAAGAACACCAAAUGCGAAGGCAGCGUACUGGAACAUUGCUGACGCUCAGGGACGAAAGCGUGGGGAGCGAAAGG
rnacentral:rRNA from 1 species